rnacentral:rRNA from 1 species
UACGUAGGGUGCAAGCGUUAAUCGGAAUUACUGGGCGUAAAGCGUGCGCAGGCGGUUUUGUAAGUCUGACGUGAAAUCCCCGGGCUCAACCUGGGAAUUGCGUUGGAGACUGCAAGGCUAGAAUCUGGCAGAGGGGGUAGAAUUCCACGUGUAGCAGUGAAAUGCGUAGAGAUGUGGAGGAACACCGGAUGGCGAAGGCAGCCCCCUGGGUCAAGAUUGACGC